UGGGGAAUAUUGCACAAUGGGGGAAACCCUGAUGCAGCGACGCCGCGUGGAGGAAGAAGGUCUUCGGAUUGUAAACUCCUGUUGUUGAGGAAGAUAAUGACGGUACUCAACAAGGAAGUGACGGCUAACUACGUGCCAGCAGCCGCGGUAAAACGUAGGUCACAAGCGUUGUCCGGAAUUACUGGGUGUAAAGGGAGCGCAGGCGGGAAGACAAGUUGGAAGUGAAAUCCAUGGGCUCAACCCAUGAACUGCUUUCAAAACUGUUUUUCUUGAGUAGUGCAGAGGUAGGCGGAAUUCCCGGUGUAGCGGUGGAAUGCGUAGAUAUCGGGAGGAACACCAGUGGCGAAGGCGGCCUACUGGGCACCAACUGACGCUGAGGCUCGAAAGUGUGGGUAGCAAACAGGAUUAGAUACCCUGGUAGUCCACACCGUAAACGAUGAUUACUAGGUGUUGGAGGAUUGACCCCUUCAGUGCCGCAGUUAACACAAUAAGUAAUCCACCUGGGGAGUACGACCGCAAGGUUGAAACUCAAAGGAAUUGACGGGGGCCCGCACAAGCAGUGGAGUAUGUGGUUUAAUUCGACGCAACGCGAAGAACCUUACCAAGUCUUGACAUCCUGCGACGGACAUAGAAAUAUGUCUUUCCUUCGGGACGCAGAGACAGGUGGUGCAUGGUUGUCGUCAGCUCGUGUCGUGAGAUGUUGGGUUAAGUCCCGCAACGAGCGCAACCCUUAUGGUCAGUUACUACGCAAGAGGACUCUGGCCAGACUGCCGUUGACAAAACGGAGGAAGGUGGGGAUGACGUCAAAUCAUCAUGCCCUUUAUGACUUGGGCUACACACGUACUACAAUGGCGUUAAACAAAGAGAAGCAAGACCGCGAGGUGGAGCAAAACUCAGAAACAACGUCCCAGUUCGGACUGCAGGCUGCAACUCGCCUGCACGAAGUCGGAAUUGCUAGUAAUCGUGGAUCAGCAUGCCACGGUGAAUACGUUCCC
rnacentral:rRNA from 1 species